UGGAUACUGGGRUUAGGGUUCGUAGGCUGGUGCUGUACGUCGUCWCAGUGAAAUCCCAUCGGCUCAACCUGGUGGAACUGCGUCBGUGAAACCACWGCGUCUUGAGNCUUGCAUAGGCGAUCABAACUUAUUGGUGGAKYGGUGAAAUGCSUAAAUAUCUAUCGGAAUGCCGAAGGUGAAGACAGGUCGCUGGGCUCGUCCUGACGCUGAGGGACGAAAGCGUGGGGAGCAAACGGGAUUAGAUACCCCGGUAGUCCACGCCGUAAACAAUGCGCACUGGGUCGGAGGGGUUUGACGCCUUUCUGGCCGAAGCAAAAGUGUUAAGUGCGCCGCCUGGGGAGUACGGUCGCAAGGCUAAAACUCAAAGGAAUUGGCGGGGGAGCACAAAA
rnacentral:rRNA from 1 species